CAACUACUCCCUCUGUCCCAAAUUUCUUGUCUAAGAUUUGUCUAGAUACGGAUGUAUCUAAUACUAAAAUGUGACUUGAUACAUCCGUAUCUAGACAAAUCUAAGACAAGAAUUUUGGGACGGAGGGAGUACUUU
rnacentral:pre_miRNA from 1 species